GACGAACGCUGGCGGCGUGCUUAACACAUGCAAGUCGAACGGAAAGGCCCUGCUUUUGUGGGGUGCUCGAGUGGCGAACGGGUGUGUAACACGUGAGUAACCUGCCCCUGACUUUGGGAUAACUUCAGGAAACUGGGGCUAAUACCGGAUAGGAGCUCCUGCUGCAUGGUGGGGGUUGGAAAGUUUCGGCGGUUGGGGAUGGACUCGCGGCUUAUCAGCUUGUUGGUGGGGUAGUGGCUUACCAAGGCUUUGACGGGUAGCCGGCCUGAGAGGGUGACCGGCCACAUUGGGACUGAGAUACGGCCCAGACUCCUACGGGAGGCAGCAGUGGGGAAUAUUGCACAAUGGGCGGAAGCCUGAUGCAGCAACGCCGCGUGCGGGAUGACGGCCUUCGGGUUGUAAACCGCUUUCGCCUGUGACGAAGCGUGAGUGACGGUAAUGGGUAAAGAAGCACCGGCUAACUACGUG
rnacentral:rRNA from 1 species